AUGGUUGAGGAGGUGAAAGAGAGUGUGGUGGUGGAGCCAGCAGCUGCAGCUCAAAUGGCAGUGGAGGAAGCAGUGUCUGCUCCAGUAACCGCUGAAGAGGUUGAGGGGGAGAAACUUCCAUCAGAGGCCCAUGUUUCAGAUGUUGUGGUUGAGGAACAGGUGGUAGAAACCUUGGCUGCUUUAGCAGUUGUUAAGGAAACAGUUCCUGUACUGCCUGAAGAAGUUCCUCCUGAAGUGGCAGAGAAAACUCCAGUUGCUCCAGAAUUAGUCGACGAAGCUCCAUUUGCCCCUGAAGUAGCUGAAGAAGUUCCAGUUCUUGUUGAGGAAGCUCCUGUUGCCCCAGAAGUAGUUGAAGCUCCAUCUGUUCCUGUUGUGGAUGAAGCUCCAGUUGCUCCAGAAGUAGUUGAAGUUCCAGUUGUUCUUGUUGAGGAAGCUCCUGUUGCCCCAGAAGUAGUUGAAGCUCCAUCUGUUCCUGUUGUGGAUGAAGCUCCAGUCGUUCCUGUGGCAGAGGAGGAUCCAGUAAUUCCUGUUGUGGAGCAGGCUCCAGUUUCUCCUGUAGAAGUAGAAGACAUACCAGUUGCUCAAGAGGUCACAGAAGAAGCUCCAGUUGUUCCAGUCGCAGAAGCUGCCCCAGAAGUGGCUGAGGAGGCUUCAGUUCCGCCGUCAAUCGAGGAAUCUGCGCCCAUGGUUGUAGAAGUUGCAGCCGAGGCCACAGCAGCUUCAGAGGUGACACCUGAGGAGGCCCCAGUAGCAACAGAGUCAACAGCAGAGUACAUUGUUGUGGUCCUUGAAGGUUCCCCAAAAGUAGAGAAGAAGCCCAGAGUGCUGGGAGUGUCACCCGUGAUUGGAAGGGUCAUCCCUGCCCAUGAUAAUGUUGAACCAGUUGCCCAGGUAACAGGACAAGAGGCGGCUUCUUAGAAUGCAAAUGGAAUAAAAGUGGUGUCUUAGGAUUGUUUUACCCGGUUUUGGUGACCGUGCAACUGGAGAAGAAUUAGAGAUGUGCCUUCCAACCCCAGCCCAGAACGUCACCAUUUACCGCAAUCUCACUCUGAGCCUCUUAGGAUGUACAAUAGAUGUAGGCAAUCCUGCUGUCUGAUUUCUGUACUUCAUCUCGGUCUAUAAAGCCAUUCAUCCCUUUCAUCCCAUUGAAUGCUUAAAAAAAAAAAUAUAGUUUACUUGAAGUGUCACAUGCUGAGCCACCUGUAACUACAUCUGUACUAGUCCCAAUUUUCAUGGUCAUUGUCGUGGCUUACUUGCCCAUUUGAAAUAGACUCCAUAAAAUUGAUAAAGUACGUAUCUUGGUGGAAAAACAACUUUCUGAGCCGCACCUACUUGAAUGGGACUGAACUGUAAUGACCCUAAAAAAAUUAACAGAAUAUGGAAAAUGCAAAGGGUCACCAGGGAACUGGAGUGUAGUUUACCUUACUUCUGACCUCACUUUCUCGACUAUGUUUCUCCAGUGCCAUGCUAGCCAUUGACCUUCUGAGUCAUUACAGCUCACAGUCAAUUCAAGCUUAAAAAACCCUGCAAUAAUCUCCCACGAUAUUCUUCCAUUAGUUUGUAUUAUAAGAGGUCUUUACUAGCAUGUGUAGAGAAACAUGGUUACUACCUCACUUUUCUUCUGAAGCCUGUGCUCCUAUAAUCUUUACUUUUUUCAGUGUUAUUUUCUGUUUUUAGAUGUCAAGUUAUCAUCUCUUUCUAUGCUGAAGCAUAUUUAAAGCCACAAAACACACCAGCAAGUACAAGUAAUAUAUAAUUACCUCAAACACAGCUGUGUAAUAAAAAAUUUCCUGUCCGUAAGAUCA
rnacentral:lncRNA from 1 species